ensembl:lncRNA
AGCGCUGAGAAGUUGUCCCAGCAGCUUUUUGAGGAAGUGGAGAGGCUGAAGGAGCAGAACAACAACACAGAGACUCAGUAAGACUCAACAAGAACAUUUUACAGCAUAUUUUGUUUGGUUCUUGUUCCGCUGACAUCUCUUUCUCUGUUCUCCAGAAAGAAAGAGACUUGAGGACCAGCUGAAGAUGGUAGCAGGGAUUGUCUCUGGUUAUAAUUUUACUUUCUGUAAACCUCAACCGCUGAUAUACCACAUUGUAAUAGUCCACUGUCUGAUGUAUGUAACUCAGUCUUACCUUUGAAACUGUUUUAUUAUGAAGAGACAACAGAGAAGCAGUGUGUGGAUAAUGUCCAGCUGAGACAGGAGAAGACGGCACUGCAGAAAGACCUGCUGAAAACACAGGUGUCGUUGAAGACAUGUCAGAAGGUAGCAGAGGAAGUGCAGCAGUUGAAGGAGGACAACGCCAGGACAUCCGUUCUAAAAUACGACCUGGAAAAACAUCUUGUACUGUUUCAAGAUUCUCAACUCAAGCAAGAGCGUGACAUUACCAGGCUGAAAACAGAGAAGAUUGUACUGGAGUGGACCCUCUUUCUAUUCCAGGAACGACUAGAGAAACUGGAGACGGAGAAGAAUAAAGGUAACAGUGCUGUUCGUAGUAGUAGUAGUAUCAGUAGUAGUAGUAGUAGUAGUAGUAGUAGUAGUAGUAGUAGUAGUAUCAGUAGUAGUAGUAGUAGUAGUAGUAUCAGUAGUAUCAGUAGUAGUAGUAGUAUCAGUAGUAGUAGUAGUAUCAGUAGUAGUAGCAGUAGUAGUAGUAGUAGUAUCAGUCGUAGUAGUAGUAGUAUCAGUAGUAUCAGCAGUAUCAGUAGUAUCAGUCGUAGUAGUAGUAGUAGUAUCAGCAGUAUCAGUAGUAUCAGUCGUAGUAGUAGUAGUAGUAUCAGUAGUAGUAGUAGCAGUAGUAUCAGUAGUAGUAGUAUCAGUAGUAUCAGUAGUAGUAGUAUCAGUAGUAGUAGUAGUAGCAGUAUCAGUAGUAGCAGUAUCAGUAGUAUCAGUAGCAGUAUCAGNGAUGCUUUGUGUAAAUGUGCCCAGAGUUAAUGUAGUGUUUCCCCGUUCAUAGACACUAAUUAACUUCAGAUCCCAGAUCAGCACUGCUGCUCUUAUUGAUGAAUGUUUCAUCUUCCGGGUGAGUUUUGUCGUUCGGUCUGAACGAGAACAAACAUAGCUUGGGAUACGGUUUUGGAAACAAGGAACUUAUCUUUUAUAUCAGCAAUAAAUACUUUUUCAAAAAGCAAAAAGUUAAAUAGAGUAUCACAGUGUGAGUCAUAAUACCCAUAAAACCAAAGCAGUCAAAAAAAGGAAAUGGUUCCAAUUGUUUUUCCACAAUGUUUCCCAUAGUGGAUUUGAGAAACAUUUAAAAUAAGGGCUGUGUUUCGUGUAGGCCUACCCUGGGGUAACAUUUAGAUAAUUGUGUAAAUCUCUCUAGGACAAUGUGACUUGCCUGUAUCUACCCCCACCAAAUGAAACGCUAAUUAGUUGCUAAUGUGGCUUUCAUUAAGCACAAAUGCCAUGAUGAUCUGGAUAAGACUGCCUAAUCGAGGCAAAGGUAAGAAUUUCUGGAUUAACUUUCUAAUGUUGGCUAAAUGUAGUAGUGAAUAAAUUAACUACAUUUCAUUCAAGUGACAAUUCUGUGAAUUGUCUUGUGCAAGUUUUAAAUGGACACAAUACCUGUUAGCAAAAGGUGUCAGCUAGAUAUGACCUGCAGGGAUUUGUAGUCUUCAAUGGAUGUCUACUUUGAUGCUAAUUAGCAUUUUAGAAUGUGAGAUGAAUAAGUUGAUAAAAGUCACCUUGUCCGAGAGCGAUUUACCUGGUUAUUAAAAGGUAAGGACACACGAAACACAGCCCUCAUUUGAAGUGUUUCUAAAAUCCCCUAUGGGGGGAAAUGAUUGGAACCAUUUCCCUGUUUAACCGCUAGGUUUUAUGGGUAUUAUGACACCUCCACUGUGGAGCUCUAUUACUACACAGCUUUCUAAGGUAAGUGUUCCCACACAGCCACAUCUCCGUGUUACACCGUGUGUACAUAAACCAGAGGACACCACCGGUGCUGAUUGUCUAUCGAGCUCAGAAUGACUGUAACGGAACGCAGCCAGAAACAUGUCGUUGAAAACUACUGCCACUAAUAAAGCUGUUAAAACAGUGGACAGUAAGUGUGUAUUCUGGAUGUUGACGUGAUGUGAAAGGGCUAUGUAUUUAGAACCACAUCGAUGGAGCGUUUGUCUGUUUUGUCUGCCAGAGCCUGUCUACUUCUGACAAUAACCAGGUCCCUGGCCCUUAAGGAGUACUGGUAGGCUGACCUACACUCCUUUUAGAGUACAUGGUUGGCCUAGUGCACUGGCUCCCUAACUGUUUAUAGUCCUGUACCCCGUCAAACAUUCAACCUCCAGCUUUACCCCCUCUAGCACCAGGGUCAGCUGUACCCCCUCUAGCACCAGGGUCAGCUGUACCCCCUCUAGCACCAGGGUCAGCUGUACCCCCUCUAGCACCAGGGUCAGCCUGUACCCCCUCUAGCACCAGGGGUCAGUCCUGUACGCGCCCUCUAGCACCAGGUUCAGCUGUACCCCCUCUAGCACCAGGGUCAGCUUACCCCCUCUACACCAUGGGUCAGCUGUACCCUCUGGCACCAGGGUCAGCUGUACCCCUCUAGCACCAGGGUCAGCUGUACCCCCUCUAGCACCAGGGUCAGCUGUACCCCCUCUAGCACCAGCGUCAGCUGUACCCCCUCUAGCACCAGGGUCAGCUGUACCCCUCUAGCACCAGCGUCAGCUG